rnacentral:rRNA from 1 species
GAUGAACGCGGCGGCGUGCUUAACACAUGCAAGUCGAACGAAGCUGUUAAAAGGAAGUCUUCGGAUGGAAUUUUAACAGACUUAGUGGCGGACGGGUGAGUAACGCGUGGAUAACCUGCCUUAUACAGGGGGAUAACGGAGAGAAAUUUCCGCUAAGACCGCAUAAGACCACAGCACCGCAUGGUGCAGGGGUAAAAUAUUAAUAGGUAUAAGAUGGAUCCGCGUCCGAUUAGCUGGUUGGUGAGGUAGAGGCUCACCAAGGCGACGAUCGGUAGCCGGCCUGAGAGGGUGAACGGCCACAUUGGGACUGAGACACGGCCCAAACUCCUACGGGAGGCAGCAGUGGGGAAUAUUGGACAAUGGGGGAAACCCUGAUCCAGCGACGCCGCGUGAGUGAAGAAGUAUUUCGGUAUGUAAAGCUCUAUCAGCAGGGAAGAAAAUGACGGACCUGA